rnacentral:rRNA from 1 species
UAGAGUUUGAUCCUGGCUCAGAGUGAACGCUAGCGGCGUGGAUUAGGCAUGCAAGUCGAACGCGAAAGGAUGAUGAAGGAUUCUUCGGAUGACUGAUUCGCUGAGUAGAGUGGCGCAAGGGUGAGUAAUACAUGGCUAACGUACCUCUAACUUUGGAAUAACAACUGGAAACGGUUGCUAAUGCCGGAUAGUCUCAAACUGUCUCAUGACGGUUUGGGUAAAGGUGGGGAUCCCUUCGGGGACCUUCUGGUUAGAGAGCGGGUCAUGCGCUAUCAGCUAGUUGGUGAGGUAACGGCUCACCAAGGCAACGAUGUCUAGGGGUUCUGAGAGGAUGAUCCCCCACACUGGUACUGAGACACGGACCAGACUCCUACGGGAGGCAGCAGUAAGGAAUAUUGCGCAAUGGAGGCAACUCUGACGCAGCCAUGCCGCGUGAAGGAAGAAGGCCUUAUGGGUCGUAAACUUCUUUUAUUUAGGAAUAAUCCCCCCAACGUGUUGGGGGUUGAAGGUACUAAACGAAUAAGCACCGGCUAACUCCGUGCCAGCAGCCGCGGUAAUACGGAGGGUGCAAGCGUUAUCCGGAUUUAUUGGGUUUAAAGGGUGCGCAGGCUGGCUUGUCAGUCAGUGGUGAAAUCCCGGGGGCUCACCCCGGAACUGCCAUUGAUACUGCAAGUCUUGAAUACGGUUGAAGUAGCGGGAAUGUAGCAUGUAGCGGUGAAAUGCAUAGAGAUGCUACAGAACACCGAUCGCGAAGGCAGCUUAUUAAACCGAUAUUGACGCUCAGGCACGAAAGCGUGGGAGCGAACAGGAUUAGAUACCCUGGUAGUUCACGCCGUAAACUAUGAUCACUCGUUGUUGGCAAUACACAGUCAGUGACCAAGCGAAAGCGAUAAGUGAUCCACCUGGGGAGUACGAUCGCAAGGUUGAAACUCAAAGGAAUUGACGGGGGCCCGCACAAGCGGUGGAGCAUGUGGUUUAAUUCGAUGAUACGCGAGGAACCUUACCUGGGCUCAAAUGCAUAAUGACAAACCCUGAAAGGGGUCUUUCUUCGGACAUUUUGCAAGGUGCUGCAUGGUUGUCGUCAGCUCGUGCCGUGAGGUGUCGGGUUAAGUCCCAUAACGAGCGCAACCCCUACUCUUAGUUGCCAGCAUGUAAUGAUGGGGACUCUAGGAGAACUGCCUACGCAAGUAGAGAGGAAGGUGGGGAUGACGUCAAAUCAGCACGGCCCUUACGUCCAGGGCUACACACGUGCUACAAUGGCCGGUACAGAGGGCAGCCACCUGGUGACAGGGAGCGAAUCUCUAAAGCCGGUCUCAGUUCGGAUCGAAGUCUGCAACCCGACUUCGUGAAGCUGGAAUCGCUAGUAAUCGCGCAUCAGCCAUGGCGCGGUGAAUACGUUCCCGGGCCUUGUACACACCGCCCGUCAAGCCAUGGAAGCUGGGGGUACCUGAAGUCGGUGACCGUUAAGGAGCUGCCUAGGGUAAAACUAGUAACUAGGGCUAAGUCGUAACAAGGUAACCA